rnacentral:lncRNA from 1 species
AGAAAAACCAAUUGUCAGAGCCUCAUUUGUGUCUUCUGUAUGGAACUGCCAUUGAUGAUUCAUGAAUGGUGUUUGUGAGUGGAUUAAGAGCUACCACAGCUAAUUCAUGUGGGCUGAACUGCUGAUAUCCUGAUCACGCAGAUGGGAUUCGUCCCAAAGAACUCUUUCUAAACAGACCUCUCCAACUGUUUUGAGGUAGUUUGGAGACUCUGCUUUUUCCAGGCUGCAGGGUUCGUCGGUUUAGAGAUUGGAAAUUGUGUUGGUUUGUUUUGUCAACUUGACCCAGCCUAGAAGCACCUGAGAAGAAAAUUUCAGUUGAGAAGCUAUUUACAUCCAAUGCAUAGAUGCCUGCCUUCCUGUGCCGAGGACACGGAGAUAAAAAUUCAGAAAGAACUCACUCCCCACUCCUGCCUUGUAAAUUUCACCAAGGACACCCAGAAGAGAAGAACUGUCUUCCCAACUCCUCCCAACUCCUCAGCUAGCUGUUAAAAGCCCCCUACUGUCACCGCCCUGCAUUGGCAGAGGGACUUCUCCUCAGCUAGCUGAUAAUAAAACUUCUUGCAGUUU